GACGAACGCUGGCGGCGUGCUUAACACAUGCAAGUCGUACGGUAAGGCCCUUUCGGGGGUACACGAGUGGCGAACGGGUGAGUAACACGUGAGUAACCUGCCCACAACUUUGGGAUAACGCUAGGAAACUGGUGCUAAUACUGGAUAUGUGCUCCUGCUGCAUGGUGGGGGUUGGAAAGCUCCGGCGGUUGUGGGUGGACUCGCGGCCUAUCAGCUUGUUGGUGGGGUAGUGGCCUACCAAGGCGGCGACGGGUAGCCGGCCUGAGAGGGUGACCGGCCACAUUGGGACUGAGAUACGGCCCAGACUCCUACGGGAGGCAGCAGUGGGGAAUAUUGCACAAUGGGCGCAAGCCUGAUGCAGCAACGCCGCGUGCGGGAUGACGGCCUUCGGGUUGUAAACCGCUUUCAGCAGGGACGAAGCUUUUUGUGACGGUACCUGCAGAAGAAGCACCGGCUAACUACGUG
rnacentral:rRNA from 1 species